rnacentral:rRNA from 1 species
AAGCGCUUGCAACCAGACUUGCACGCGGUUGAUCAUCCGGUGUUCUCACCGGUGCACUCGACCGUGUUCAGGCCAGCAUCGGUUCAGGUGGUGGGAUAAAGGCCUUGGGAAUGUAGCUUCUUUCGGGGAGUGUUAUAGCCCAUUGCACAAUACCCUGGGGCGGACUGAGGUUCGCGCAUUUAUGCAAGGAUGCUGGCGUAAUGGUCAUCAGCGA